GUAGGACAUGCUGCUUUCCUUGGUGU
rnacentral:piRNA from 1 species